AAGCAUAUAACUAAGCGGAGGAAAAGAAACUAACAAGGAUUCCCCUAGUAACGGCGAGUGAAGCGGGAAGAGCUCACGUUGUGAAUCUGGCCCUCGGGCCCGAACUGUACUCUGGAGAGGCGUGGCCAGCCGCUGUCCGCGGCCAAGUCUGAUUGGAAAUGGGCAUCAAGGAGGGUGACAAUCCCGUCCAUGCCGCGGUAUCGACCAGCGCGCGUCAGGCCCGCUUUCGACGAGUCGAGUUGCUUGGGAUUGCAGCUCAAAGAGGGUGGUAAACUCCAUCCAAAGCUAAACACGGGGGGGAGACCGAUAGCGAACAAGUACCGUGAGGGAAAGAUGCAAAGAACUUUGAAAAGAGAGUUAAAGAGUGCCUGAAAUUGCUGGAAGGGAAGCGAAGGAAAGAAGUGUGCGGUUGCCCGGGCGCCAACCCCUACCUGUCCGCAGGUGGGGGUAGGCCGCCCGGCCGCGGUCAGGGGCUGCGCCGGGCUCGGGGGAAGAGCCGUCGGGGAUCGGUAGGCGUGCCGCUUCGGCGGGGCGCUGUCAGGCCCCGGCGGUACAUGAAUUGCCCUGAGCCCGGCCCCCUUCUGGCGGUCGCGGCUUUUCUUCACCCCGUCUUGAAACACGGACCAAGGAGUCUAGCGUGGACGCGAGUAGAGGGGUGUCAAAACCCCCUUGCGCAAUGAAGGUGAACGCCGGUGGGAGGCCGCCCCAGGAGCAAUUCUUGGGCGGCCAGCACCAUCGACCGAGCGUGCUCCUCCGGGGGCAAGGCUUGAGUGUGAGCGUGCAUGCUGGGACCCGAAAGAUGGUGAACUAUGCCUGAAUAGGGCGAAGCCAGGGGAAACUCUGGUGGAGGCUCGUAGCGAUUCUGACGUGCAAAUCGAUCGUGAGAUUUGGGUAUAGGGGCGAAAGACUAAUCGAACCAUCUAGUAGCUGGUUCCCUCCGAAAUUUCCCUCAGGAUAGCAGCGGCCGAAUGUUGACAGUUUUAUCAGGUAAAGCGAAUGAUUAGAGGCUGCGGGGGAGUAACUCCCUCGCCCUAUUCUCAAACUUUAAAUGGGUAAGGAGCUGGGGUCGCUUGAUUGGACCCUCGGCAUGUGUUUUGGAAUGGCUGGUCGUUAGUGGGCCAGUCCGGGUAAGCUGGACUGGCGAUGCGGGAUGAACCGAACGCCUAGAUGAAGCGCCUCACUGCCCGCUCACCUAGAUCCCACAAAAGGUGUUGGUUCAUUCAGACAGCAGGACGGUGGCCAUGG
rnacentral:rRNA from 1 species